UAGAAAAGCAAAAUAGGAGGAGAGUCGGUGCUUUGCAGAAAAGGGAGUUGGAAGCUUCGAGAGACGGUGAUCGAUUCGAUUGCUGUCUCUCUGAGACAGCGAUUCUGAGAGCAAGAAAUAAUCGAGGUUUAGGUUUUGUUUUGGCAGUACAGAGGGAGGGAGAGAGAAACACUGAGAGCGAGGUAGGGAUCGAUAGCAAGAUUUGGAUCGGGCUUGGGAUCGGGUAGGGAUCCAAAUCUUGCUAUCGAUCUUUGAAGAACGAUCCAAUUUGUGCGGCUUCUUUCUGAGGUUGCACCAGAUAUGGCCCUUGAAUUUUUGGCAGGAGCACCGUUUCAGCUCAUGUACGACAUGGUUAAGGUAGCGCUCUGGAAUACGAAGUUAUUCAGGUCUCAACUUAGGCAACUGGAAAACAUACUCAAAAUUCUCCAGCCUCAAAUUCUUGAGCAGAUAAGACAAAACAAUGUGCAGCUUCACCUUUCAACCCUACACAUAAAAGAGCUUCAGCUGAAAAUUGAAGACGGUUUAAUGCUCCUCGAAAAAUUAGGAAGUAUUAGCAAUUUUAAUGUGCACGUUUGGGGUUCCUGCUUUAGCAACUUGUGGAGGUGUUUCAACAGGUGGGCUUAUCCCUUCUAGCUUAAUGCCAAGAACCAGCUCUUUCAAAUCAGCAACUGUGUCACUGAGAAGUUUCAGAUUGCUGCUCACUCUUUCCGCAGAGUCAACCGAGGGCAAAGUUGAUGAGGUGAGCAGCAAUCUGAAACUUCUGACUCUUUCCGCAGAGUCAACCGAGGGCAAAGUUCAGAUUGCUGCUCACUCUUUCCGCAGGCUCACCUGAUCAACUUUGCCCUCGGUUGACUCUGCGGAAAGAGUGAGAAGUUUCAGAUUGCUGCUCACCUCAUCAAGUUUGGCCUCGGUUGACUUGGCGGAAAGAGUGAGCCGGCCAAGUAGUGACAGAUUCUCCAACUCAAUGAUUUUUAGAAGCCUUUACAGCCCUAUGAUUAAAUCCUCCAGCUGAUCUGCGUAUCUAGGCUUUAGACAGGAACCCCAAACGUGCACAUUAAAUUUGCUAAUACUUCCUAAUUUUUCGAGGAGCAUUAAACCGUCUUCAAUUUUCAGCUGGAGCUCUUUUAUGUGUACGGUUGAAAGGUGAAGCUGCACAUUGUUUUGUCUUAUCUGCUCAAGAAUUUGAGGCUGGAGAAUUUUGAGUAUGUUUUCCAGAAUUUGAGGCUGUCUCUUCCAAAUUCUGUCAGUAUUGAUGGAAUCACAUCAGUCUUAUCAGCCGAAGCCUAGAAACUUUAGCAAAAGACAGAUUUAAAAGCUACAGUUGCUUGCUUUCUCUUUAUGUAGUAACUAUGUUGAUAGAUUGGCUUUUUUUUUUUAUGACAAUGUUGAUAGAUUGGUUGAUAUGGUGUUACAUAUUCACAUAUUGAUAGAUUGGUUGCUUGCUCUCUCUUUAUAUAGUAACUAUGUUUUGCAAAAGGCACCUCUUUACAGAGGGGAAAGAAAUGUUGCAGUGACUUGAAUUUGAUUCACUCGGAUGAUUAUAUCGGUGCAAAUUGAACUCCAUUUUUAAUUAAUGAGCUAUUUCAAAGUUAAA